AUCCAGAUGACAAGUCCCAAAUAGGACGAAAUAUGCAUCCUGGUUGGAU
rfam:Trichobilharzia regenti genome assembly, scaffold: TRE_scaffold0000326